GGUUAAGUGACUAAGCGUACACGGUGGAUGCCUGGGCAGUCAGAGGCGAUGAAGGACGUACUAACUUGCGAUAAGCGCAGAUAAGGCAGUAAGAGCCGUUUGAGUCUGCGAUUUCCGAAUGGGGAAACCCAACUGCAUAAGCAGUUACUGUUAACUGAAUACAUAGGUUAACAGAGCAAACCGGGGGAACUGAAACAUCUAAGUACCCCGAGGAGAAGAAAUCAACCGAGAUUCCGGUAGUAGCGGCGAGCGAACCUGGAUUAGCCCUUAAGCACUCGGUGAAGUAGGUGAACAAGCUGGAAAGCUUGGCGAUACAGGGUGAUAGCCCCGUAACCGACGCUUCAUCGAGCGUGAAAUCGAGUAGGGCGGGACACGUGAUAUCCUGUCUGAAUAUGGGGGGACCAUCCUCCAAGGCUAAAUACUCCUGACUGACCGAUAGUGAACCAGUACCGUGAGGGAAAGGCGAAAAGAACCCCUGUGAGGGGAGUGAAAUAGAACCUGAAACCGUGUACGUACAAGCAGUAGGAGCACCUUCGUGGUGUGACUGCGUACCUUUUGUAUAAUGGGUCAGCGACUUAUAUUCAGUGGCAAGGUUAACCGUAUAGGGGAGCCGUAGCGAAAGCGAGUCUUAACUGGGCGCUCAGUCUCUGGAUAUAGACCCGAAACCGGGUGAUCUAGCCAUGGGCAGGUUGAAGGUUGAGUAACAUCAACUGGAGGACCGAACCGACUAAUGUUGAAAAAUUAGCGGAUGACUUGUGGCUAGGGGUGAAAGGCCAAUCAAACUCGGAGAUAGCUGGUUCUCCCCGAAAGCUAUUUAGGUAGCGCCUCGGACGAAUACUACUGGGGGUAGAGCACUGUUAAGGCUAGGGGGUCAUCCCGACUUACCAACCCUUUGCAAACUCCGAAUACCAGUAAGUACUAUCCGGGAGACACACGGCGGGUGCUAACGUCCGUCGUGGAGAGGGAAACAACCCAGACCGCCAGCUAAGGUCCCAAAGUAUUGCUAAGUGGGAAACGAUGUGGGAAGGCUCAGACAGCUAGGAUGUUGGCUUAGAAGCAGCCAUCAUUUAAAGAAAGCGUAAUAGCUCACUAGUCGAGUCGGCCUGCGCGGAAGAUGUAACGGGGCUAAGCAAUACACCGAAGCUGCGGCAAUGAAGUUUACUUCAUUGGGUAGGGGAGCGUUCUGUAAGCCGUUGAAGGUGAAUCGUAAGGUUUGCUGGAGGUAUCAGAAGUGCGAAUGCUGACAUGAGUAACGACAAAGGGGGUGAAAAACCUCCUCGCCGGAAGACCAAGGGUUCCUGUCCAACGUUAAUCGGGGCAGGGUGAGUCGACCCCUAAGGUGAGGCCGAAAGGCGUAAUCGAUGGGAAACGGGUUAAUAUUCCCGUACUUCUGACUAUUGCGAUGGGGGGACGGAGAAGGCUAGGUGGGCCAGGCGACGGUUGUCCUGGUUCAAGUGCGUAGGCUUGAGA
rnacentral:rRNA from 1 species